rnacentral:lncRNA from 1 species
AGGGCCUGCGGGAGCGUAGGCACCAGUGCCAGAGCCCUCCGGGACCUCGAGCCAGCACCUGGUCCCUUCACCUCCCAAGCACCCAAGGCCACGAGAUUCUGGCAGCAGCUCCCCGCGGUGGUCGACAGACCUGCAGUCCAGGGGGCGUCGGCUCCGAGCCCUGGGCAGCUGGGGGCCUGGCCUGGGUGAUGGGGUGGCUGCAGUGCCUGUCCUGAGAGCCCUGGAGGUGGCCUCAGGCCUAAGCCCUCGAGCCCAGGGACGUCCUGGCCCAAAGCCAGCACCAGAUGCAACAGCUAGACCUCCCAGGGCAGCUGAACUCUCUCACCCCAGCCCCGUCCCCACUUAAUAUAGCCCCCACUGCCAAGCUUGCCUGUGCUGGGGCCACGACUUGCCCACAUAUGUGGUCACAGAGCACAGAAUACCUGGGCGUGUGUGUUGGGGGGUGAAAGGAGUGCCUGGCC